UAGGGCGUUCAGUCGCAUGCCGUAGACCCGAAGCCGAGUGAGCUAUCCAUGGGCAGUGUGAAGCGGAGGUAAGACUCUGUGGAGGCGCGAACCGACUUCAGUUGAAAAUGGAGCGGAUGACCUGUGGAUAGGGGUGAAAGGCCAAUCAAACUCGGUGAUAGCUGGUUCUCCGCGAAAUGCAUUUAGGUGCAGCGUCGUGCGUUCAACGAUGGGGGUAGAGCACUGAAUGGGCUAGGGGUCCUACAAGACUACCGACCCCAAUCAAACUCCGAAUACCAUCGUUCCAGAGCACGGCAGUGAGACCUCGGGGGAUGAGCUUCGAGGUCGAGAGGGAAACAGCCCAGACCGCCGGCUAAGGUCCCAAAAUCUGAACUAAGUGGUAAACGAUGUGAGAUUGCGAAGACAGCCAGGAGGUUGGCUUGGAAGCAGCCAUCCUUGAAAGAGUGCGUAACAGCUCACUGGUCGAGUGAUCUUGCGCGGACAAUGUAACGGGGCUCAAGUUCAGUACCGAAGCCGCGGAUGCGACUCUUUGAGUCGUGUGGUAGCGGAGCGUCGAGCGUGCAGCGAAGCGGCGGGACAACCCAGCCGUGGAGCGCGUUCGAGUGCGAAUGUUGGCAUGAGUAGCGAAUGAGGGGUGAGAACCCCCUCCGCCGUAUGUCCAAGGGUUCCUGGGCGAGGCCAAUCCUCCCAGGGUGAGUCGGGAGCUAAGGCGAGGCCGAGAGGCGUAGUCGAUGCACAACUGGUUGAUAUUCCAGUACCACCAUGUUCGCGUCCGUCCCAAUACUCUGUUGCUAAGGGGCUGUGUUGACUUCGGUCAACGCGAACCGACCCACAUUGUUGCGGGAAGCUGUAGGGGGACGCAGGAAGGUAGAUGAACCCGGUGAAUGGUAGAACCGGGGUAAGCGUGUAGGAGGAGGACCAGGUAAAUCCGGGCCUCAUAAACUCUGAGACGUGAUACCGAGCCGCUUCAGGCGAAGUCAUUGAUCCUAUGCUGCCUAGAAAAGCCCAGCAGCGAGUUGACAUGGUGCCCGUACCCUAAACCAACACAGGUGGACAGGUAGAGCAUACCAAGGCGAGUGGGAUAACUAUGGUUAAGGAACUCGGCAAAUUGCCUCCGUAACUCCGGGAGAAGGAGGACCCCAGUAGCGUGAUGAGACUUGCUCUCUGAGCGUGAAGGGGUGGCACAAAAUUGAGGGAAGCGACUGUUUACCAAAAACACAGCAGCGUGCUAAGCCGUAAGGCGCUGUAUACGCUGUGACUCCUGCCCGGUGCUGGAAGGUUACGGGGAUGGGUUAGUCCUUCGGGACGAAGCUCUGAACCUAAGCCCCAGUAAACGGCGGCCGUAACUAUAACGGUCCUAAGGUAGCGAAAUUCCUUGUCGGGUAAGCUCCGACCUGCACGAAUGGAGUAACGACUUCCCUACUGUCUCAACCAUAGACCCAGCGAAAUUGAAGUACGAGUAAAGAUGCUCGUUAGCUGCAGAAGGACGGAAAGACCCCGUGGACCUUUACUAUAACUUGAUGUUGUGUUUUGU
rnacentral:rRNA from 1 species